GGCCGCGGAGCUGGAGCCGCCAUGAUGGCACCAGCGGGAUGGUGGAGCUGUGGGGUUCUGUGCGAGGAAAGCGGUGCUUCGUCGCCCUACGUCCCCGCCGCCGCCUGCCCUGUGCCUCGGGUGUCGCCGGGCGGUCAGGGGAAGUCGGCGCAGGGGCACCUGCUGGCCCUAUUCGUCCCUCGUCAGAAUCCAGCCAUCCUCCGGAGGGGGUACCGAGCUGUCCUCCGUCGUUGCAGCGGGGCACUGCUGGGCUGUGAGAAGCGGCGGCUGACCACGAGCAGCGGAACCCUCCCAGUCUCCGGCAGCAGCUCCUGGCUGAGCCGGGCAGCCCUGAAAGAGAAGGACUGAUCCCACGGGUCGAGACGUGUUCAAGCCUGGCAGAGGUUCAGGCGAGCGCCUUCGGUUCUUGCUUGGCUCAAAUCAGCAGCAGCGAGUGCUGAGUUCCUGCCCCGCAGGUGGAGUCCUCAACUGCUGUUUUCCUACAUAUGGUUUAGAAAACUCUGUGACAAGCUUAACAUGGAAUGGUCUUCCUAGCCUCAAGCAGCAGAAGUAACUUCUCCCAGCUAGGGUGUAGGAACAUCCAGUGAUGAUUGGAGUGAUGGUGUCCUACUUGGAAAUGGAGGUGCUGGAUGGCAGAAGAGGAUUCUUGGCCAAAUAUGGAAUCAUCUCUGUUCCUUCAUGAGGGUAAGUUUUUAAAAGUCAAACAUAUAGAGGUGGAUUUGCAGGGUGCCUUGAAGGAGGUGACCCCCCCCCCAACUUGAUAUCAGUUGGAUAUUUCAGAGCAGCUGAGAUUAAGGGGACAUUACAAAGUUCUGAAAAUGUUCCUGAAUGUUUUUAGUUGUUAAACUGUCUAAAAGAAUACAAGCAAU
rnacentral:lncRNA from 7 species